rnacentral:lncRNA from 1 species
AGAGGCUGGGGAGGGAGAAGACCUGAAGGAGCCUGAGAUGACUUCUGCGUGGCUUUUUUGGGAAGGCAGAUCCGUAGCGAUGCAGGCACGCACGGUCACGUAGGUCCAUGUCUCCACGCAGUCUCAGAGCCAGGGCGCCCCGAGGAGCUCCAGGUGCAGGACAAGUCUGUGUUAGAGCACUGUUGUCCGUGCUUUUAUGCAGUGUAUCCAUUCGCUUCGUCGAUUUAUUAUUUUUGUUCUUUUUCCUUUCUCUUCUGUUUCUUUCCCCCUUUCUUCUCCAGCCUUGUUUCGUUUGUGUUUCAGUUCGGUUUCUUUCCCUCCUUUUUCCUUUGGAGUUGUUGACGUGCUGAUGUGUUGCGGAGCUCGGCUCCUUGCGGGUGUUGAUAACUGCUUUGUUUUUGAUUAAUCUCAGCUAUCUGGGCAGUGUUGUCGAGACAAGCUUCUCCUCAGCUCAAUAGAAAACGUCCAUCUCCGUCCGGGGACGCUGCUGCACCUGAGAGGCUCGAAGCUCUGAAAUACCAGCGGAUAAAGAAGCCCAAAAAGUCAUCCAAGGGCUCCUCGAAAAACAGAAAACAAUCCAGUGAGUGUGAGGACCCCACGGUCCCCAGCAGCGUCCCCUCGGUGCCCCGUGGACAGCUCAGGCUGGUCCCCGCUGGCUCCAGCACUGGGUUGGUCUCUGGGCUCCUGCCCAGCUCCUGCCUCCCAAAUGGAUGGCUGCUUGCACCAUGCGCUGUCCUUCCCCUGCUCCAAACCAUUCCUCUUCCAUCCUUUAACAUCUACCCAUCUCUAGCGGCUUUCUUUAGGAUUUUGUGUUCUUUUUCAUGCUGCCCAACCUGCUUCUCACGUGGAAGAGCCCCCCAUCCUGACCUCUUCCUCUUUCCACUCCCCUCGAGGUGACCUUCCCCUUCCUCCCUUGCAAACACCCUUUCUCCUUCCAGCCAAAGUCUCCCCCUUCCCCACCUCUCGGGCAACAGGGUUUGGGGUGGCACGGGGCGGAGGACCGGAGCCUGAUGUAAUCUGUUUUGUGGCACACCUGGCACCACUGCCUCUCACCCAUCUGCCUCCUCUCCUCCCCAGACGGCUCUGCCUCCCAGGUUCAGCACCUUCCCAGCUCUCAG